GACUAAGACCAUAUGAUUACAAUUCAGACCCCAAACAGCAUAAUCUUUUCUUUGUACUGAGGAGUUUGUUUCGUGGUGGUACUCUCUGGGUUUACACUGUGGUAAAAUAGCAGAGCAAGGAGGAGGGAAAAGCAAUGGGGAAAUUUUAAAGCAAAUACACGUUCCCUUUCACCUUGAUGUGCACUAUGUCCUGGGAUGCUCCAGGGUGAAAUAAAAAAAGUGACUGCAUGUCAAAUUGAUGCCUGCUGGCUCCCUUCCCAGUACCUCAUGUUCACAGCAACCAUUUCUGAGCAUUCUGAGGAACACACUCCUGUGCAUAACUACUGAAGCCUAGGAGCUCAUCUCAUAAAUUGCUGUUCAUGCUGCAUAUAAGAGAGCAAAAUCCCACUAGUAACUCUGGGGGAUGCUAGAUUAUGCCCCACUGGCAAGGGAGCUUGGGAGAGAACUGUGAUGCUUUUGUUCACCAGACAAAACCUGAUUCAUCACUUUCCUUACAUCACCACCCAGCUCUCUAGCUUCUCAACACAGAGAUUGGUAUGGCUUUCCUUUAGAAGCAGCACUGAAGACAGGCGGUAGGACAUACAGAUCCUGCACCAUCACCCCUGGCCUCAGUCAGCAUUGAACCAAGCCCACAAAGAACAGGAGUGACUCAUGAUUUUUUUUCCAUGUACGGCAUGAGAAGACAAGCAGGCCCUAGAAAUGAAGCUGAAAUUCUUAUGCCUUAUAUGACAGCUGGUUCGUGCUCCUUGUGAUAAGAAGUGGGGUACUGGCAAGUAUUAGUGAACAGUGACGCAGUAGUGAGUAGGCUGAACCAGGCAGAACAAUGGGGUGGAUGGAGGCUGGUGAAGCCAUUGUUUUCCCAUGUUCUCUGCAGGACUCCAGGGUUGGGAGCAGUCAAUUUACCCCAGAUACAACAAAAGAAUUCGGUGAUAGUGGCAUGGUUAAUAAAAAGAUGCAUGAAACAAGAGCUGCAAGCACUCAUCGUGCAGGGACCUGUUAAAUGAUAAAGGAGGAAACUAACUGCUUAGGAGAGAAACUCAGUGGAUCAGAGAAGCCCUGUGCAGAAGGGUCUCUAUGAUCCUUAGAAGACUAACCAGAGCACAAAGUGCUUAUGAGUAAUAAUCACCUGUAUAUGCAUGUCCUGAGUUUGUCUGGAUGUGCAUAUUUGUUCUUUCUAAAGAGAAGAAUUACUGAGUUCACGAAUCCUUGGACAAACUGAUAGCUUUAAACUAAAAGCUUUACAAUAAAAAAGCCUGUUAUUUUUUAAAUAGCAUUAAAAUCUGAAGGUUGUGAAAAAUUGUAUCAAUACGCUGAGCUCCUCUGUGGUGCCUGAGCAAAGGCUUCCGUCUGAGAGACCUCCGUCCGCUGUGCCAUUUGGUCUCCCUUCUGCUGCAUUCUGGGCUGAACGGAGUUUGGGAGAAGACAGAUCCAGCGUUAACACCAAAUACAACUAUCCGAGUAUACAGCAGGGCAGAGCCCUACCAUAGUUUCGAUAAAAGUUAACACAGACUUGUUCAAACUAUCUUUUUCUUCUGGUGUUUUGAAAACCUCUGGGUACUCAGACAAGGGUAAUUUUGCAAAGCAGAAUGUGGACAGACACCCAACCCCCUUAUUUUAAUAUCUCUACUUCAU